AUGCCUUAAACUAAUGAGUAAGGAAAAUAAUGAGCCUGGGUAGCUACAGGCUCCCAAGUUUCAUCUUGGAAUAAUUUCUUCAUGGGGUACAGGACACCCCCAGGUGACCUGCUUACUUUUGCAGGAUGCCAGGGUUGUAGUGGACUGCCCU